GUGCUCGCUUCGGCAGCACAUAUGCUAAAAAAUUGGAGCGAUACAGAGAAGAUUAGCAUGGCCCCUGUGCAAGGAUGACAUGCAAAUUCAUGAAGCAUUCCAUAAAAAA
ensembl:snRNA U6 U6 spliceosomal RNA